GUCUGAAGGCAUCACAGCACUUUAAAGCCACUGCCUGGUCAUGAAAAGCAGCAGAAAACAUCUCAGGCUCCUCAGAGAGCUCCUGGCUGUGGAACCAACUGCAGCCUCCAUCACCCUGAGGAGCCUUCAAAAAGCCCACCUGCCUUUUUGGGACUGAUCCUUUGAAUUUCACAGAAACAAGCUGCUACAGCUUUUGAAUGAACUUGCUGCUAUUUGCUCUCACUCUCUCCCUCUUCCAGCUGUAUUUCUCAUCUCAAAUAAAGCCCAAGAGGAGCCAAAGAAUUCCUAGGGAAGCACCAUUCAUAUCUUAAGAAAUUGUCACUGUCAAAAGAAAAAUGCACCAAUAAAAAAUAUCCAACCCAAAAGAUGUAUUAAAGAGUCCUAAAGGUACCAGGCAGAGCAGUGGAACAAUGAAGGUGUCUCUGCCAGAUCCCCCUGCAGGACUGACAACCAGAUCCCAUCCUCCUGAUGGUGAGCUCUCACAAAGGACCUGGCCAUGCAAAAUCAAAGGGAAAUCCAGACAUCCAAAGGCUGCAGGUUCCUGGUGUUCAAUCACAGAGGGGCCCCGCUGAGAUAAAGAGCGAGACGCAGAUACGGCCAGUACCUGGCUGGCACCUCCCCACCUUACCAUUGCGGGAAUGUUUACUAACAAUAAAUAGUAAUAAUGAGAUUUUAUUACUUCCUGACUCCUAGUCUUACCUACAGUCCCCCAAGGAAAGAGCCAUGCCUCUUGGAAGAGCUCCAGUGGGAAACACGGCGCAGCUGCUGCGCAGAGGGUCCCUCAGAGCCCAUUACCUGCCGUACCAACCUCCGCAGUGGCUUGAGCUAAGCACAGGCUCUACUUUAAUGCAUCCAUUUUCCAACUUCUCACGCUCCAGCUGUCUGCAAAGGAGCUGAAAAAAAUCCCUUCUCGCUCUCUCCCACCACACACUUGUGCAGCAGCUGUAGUUCCCUGUGGUCCCCGUGCUUGG